rnacentral:tRNA from 1 species
UGAUUAGCUCAGUUGGUAGAGCGCACCCUUGGUAAGGGUGAGGUCCCCAGUUCGACUCUGGGUAUCAGCACCA